CCCUUCACAAUGAUGAAUUAUUUCGGAUGUAAAACAUAAUGUUGUCGGAAUGCGCAAACAUACCAUGUCGAGAUUUCCGUUGCCUUCCUUCUGAUACCGAAGG
rnacentral:snoRNA from 1 species